GCGCACAGCUUCGCAUGAAGCAGUGUGAAAAACUCCGGUGGUACAAGAUGGACCCGCGUCUGAUUAGCUGGUUGGUGAGGUAACGGCCCACCAAGGCGACGAUCAGUAGCCGGCCUGAGAGGGUGAACGGCCACAUUGGGACUGAGACACGGCCCAAACUCCUACGGGAGGCAGCAGUGGGGAAUAUUGCACAAUGGGGGAAACCCUGAUGCAGCAACGCCGCGUGAGUGAAGAAGUAUUUCGGUAUGUAAAGCUCUAUCAGCAGGAAAGAAAAUGACGGUACCUGACUAAGAAGCCCCGGCUAACUACGUGCCAGCAGCCGCGGUAAUACGUAGGGGGCAAGCGUUAUCCGGAUUUACUGGGUGUAAAGGGAGCGUAGACGGUUUUGCAAGUCUGAAGUGAAAGCCCGGGGCUUAACCCCGGGACUGCUUUGGAAACUGUAGGACUAGAGUGCAGGAGAGGUAAGUGGAAUUCCUAGUGUAGCGGUGAAAUGCGUAGAUAUUAGGAGGAACACCAGUGGCGAAGGCGGCUUACUGGACUGUAACUGACGUUGAGGCUCGAAAGCGUGGGGAGCAAACAGGAUUAGAUACCCUGGUAGUCCACGCCGUAAACGAUGAUUACUAGGUGUUGGUGGGUAUGACCCAUCGGUGCCGCAGCAAACGCAAUAAGUAAUCCACCUGGGGAGUA
rnacentral:rRNA from 1 species